CCGUCUUCACCUUUUUGAUUCUUCAUCUCCCUCCUGCUCUGAGCUGGAAGGAGGGAAGAAUGCUGUGGUCUAAACCCAAUGGAGUCUUGCCAGGAAGGGAUCACCUGGAGCUGCACAGUGAAAAUUCAGCUCACCAUUGUACUUGACACAGAUGAUGAGCCUUGUCCCAAAGAGAUAAUAGUCUAAUAUGAGGGGGAAACAACAACAACAAAAAAAGCCACCUAUGUCCUAACAGGGGAUUCCAGUUUCAGAAAGUAGAUCCACAUCUUGAAAUCUCCAAAGACUGGCUGUGUUUUCCUUUGGGCAUUGGAGUCAGGCUGAUUCCUGUUACAUAUCUUAUGGGUGGCCAAGCACUCUAAUAUAUGUUGUUGCUUUUGAACAAACAAUAUGGUGAAGAAUAUA
rnacentral:lncRNA from 1 species